UACGUAGGUGACAAGCGUUGUUCGGAUUUACUGGGCGUAAAGGGCGCGUAGGCGGCGCGGUAAGUCACUUGUGAAAUCUCUGAGCUUAACUCAGAACGGCCAAGUGAUACUGCAGUGCUAGAGUGUGGAAGGGGCAAUCGGAAUUCUUGGUGUAGCGGUGAAAUGCGUAGAUAUCAAGAGGAACACCUGAGGUGAAGACGGGUUGCUGGGCCAACACUGACGCUGAGGCGCGAAAGCCAGGGGAGCAAACGGG
rnacentral:rRNA from 1 species